rnacentral:misc_RNA from 1 species
UAAUUUUUUCUUUUGCAAUAUAACUUGCCCUUCAUGUUCUUGGUUUUAUGGAUGAUUAGUGUAUCAAGAUGACCCCAUAAUUUUUGUGACAAUUGGGUUGACACAAUAAUGACAAACAUGAAAAAACAUUACCAGAACCCACUAAUUUCAUGCUGUGUUCAUGUCUUGUCCAAAAUGGCCACCCUCUUGGUCACUCCCUCUCUGCCUUUUUGCUUCACUUGUAAACACUUUUGGAUAUUAUUUGACAUCAAAUUAU